ensembl:lncRNA
GAGGUAGGGAGGUUUACUGGGAGGUAGGGAGGUUUACUGGGAGGUAGAGAGGUUUACUGGGAGGUGUGGAGGUUUACUGGGAGGUAGGGAGGUUUACUGGGAGGUGUGGAGGUUUACUGGGAGGUAGGGAGGUUUACUGGGAGGUAGGGAGGUUUACUGGGAGGCAGGGAGGUUUACCGGGAGGUAUGGAGGUUUACUGGGAGGUAGGGAGGUUUACUGGGAGGUAGGGAGGUUUACUGGGAGGCAGGGAGGUUUACUGGAAGGUAGGGUGGUUUACUGGGAGGUAGGGAGGUUUACUGGGAGGUAGAGAGGUAUGGUGGUUUACCGAGAGGUAGGGAGGUAGAGAGGUUUACUGGGAGGUAGGGAGGUGUACUGAGAGUUAGAGAGGUGUACUGAGAGGUAGGGAGGUUUACUGAGAGGUAGAGAUGUAGAGAGAUUUACUGAGAGGUAGGGAGAUGUAAUGAGAGGUAGGGAUAUAGGGAAGUUUACUGAGAGGUAGGGAGGUUUACUGGGAGGUAGGGAUGUAGGGAAGUUUACUGAGAGGUAGGAAGGUUUACUGGGGGGUAGGGAUGUUUACUGGUAGAGAGGGAUGUAGGGAUGUAGGGAGGUUUACUGAGAGGCAGGGAGGCUUACUGAGAGGUAGGGAGGUUUAAUGGGAGGUAGGGAGGUUUAAUGGGAGGCAGGAAAGGUUUACUGAGAGGUAGGGAGGUUUACCGAGAGGUAGGGAGAUGUACUGAGAGGUAGGGAGGUUAACUGAGAGGUAGGGAGGUUGAAUGGGAGGUAGGGAGGUAGGGAGGUUUACUGGGAGGUAGGGAGGUUUUACUAAGAAGUAGAGAGGUUUAUUGAGAGGUAGGGAGGUAGGGAGGUUUACUAAGAGGUAGGGAGGUUUAUUGAGAGGUAGGGAGGUUUUUGAUGAAAGGUAGGGAGGUUUACUGAGAGAUAGGGG